CAGCUAGUUGGUAGGGUAAAAGCCUACCAAGGCAUCGAUCAGUAGCUGGUCUGAGAGGACGACCAGCCACACUGGAACUGAGACACGGUCCAGACUCCUACGGGAGGCAGCAGUGGGGAAUUUUGGACAAUGGGCGCAAGCCUGAUCCAGCAAUGCCGCGUGAGUGAAGAAGGCCUUCGGGUUGUAAAGCUCUUUUGUCAGGGAAGAAACGGUCUGUUCUAAUACAGCGGGCUAAUGACGGUACCUGAAGAAUAAGCACCGGCUAACUACGUGCCAGCAGCCGCGGUAAUACGUAGGGUGCAAGCGUUAAUCGGAAUUACUGGGCGUAAAGCGUGCGCAGGCGGUUUUGUAAGUUUGUCGUGAAAUCCCCGGGCUCAACCUGGGAAUGGCGAUGAAGACUGCAAGGCUAGAGUUUGGCAGAGGGGGGUAGAAUUCCACGUGUAGCAGUGAAAUGCGUAGAUAUGUGGAGGAACACCGAUGGCGAAGGCAGCCCCCUGGGUCAAAACUGACGCUCAUGCACGAAAGCGUGGGGAGCAAACAGGAUUAGAUACCCUGGUAGUCCACGCCCUAAACGAUGUCUACUAGUUGUCGGGUCU
rnacentral:rRNA from 1 species